rnacentral:rRNA from 1 species
UGAGCAAUCUGCCCUUCUCAUCGGAAUAAGCGUUGGAAACGACGUCUAAUGCCGAAUACGACCUCCUUUCGCAUGAUCGGAGGUGGAAAGCUCCGGCGGAGAAGGAUGAGCUCGCGGCCUAUCAGCUAGUUGGUGUGGGUAAUGGCCCACCAAGGCGACGACGGGUAGCCGGCCUGAGAGGGUGACCAGCCACACUGGGACUGAGACACGGCCCAGACUCCUAGGGAGG